CCUACGGGUGGCAGCAGUGGGGAAUAUUGCACAAUGGGGGAAACCCUGAUGCAGCGACGCCGCGUGAGUGAAGAAGUAUUUCGGUAUGUAAAGCUCUAUCAGCAGGGAAGAAAAUGACGGUACCUGACUAAGAAUCCCCGUCUAACUACGUGCCAGCAGCCGCGGUAAUACGGAGGGGGUAAGCGUUAUCCGGAUUUACUGGGUGUAAAGGGAGCGUAGACGGCAGCGCAAGUCUGGAGUGAAAUCCCAUGGCUCAACCAUGGAACUGCUUUGGAAACUGUGCAGCUGGAGUGCAGGAGAGGUAGGCGGAAUUCCUAGUGUAGCGGUGAAAUGCGUAGAUAUUAGGAGGAACACCAGUGGCGAAGGCGGCUUACUGGACUGUAACUGACGCUGAGGCUCGAAAGCGUGGGGAGCAAACAGGAUUAGAUACCCUUGUAGUC
rnacentral:rRNA from 1 species